GUAGGGGUGGGGUUAGCGGCUCGCUCGGGCCUGGCGGUUGGGGAGGCGGUUUAGAACACAUGCGGAAGCUCCUAAGCCGGUAUUUGAAACGGAAACUCGUCGGUUAAAAUAGAAAUACCGGUACCUGGAAACCUGGAACUUGUCUUUUCGAAGCCACCUUUCCCGUCAUCACCUCUGCCUCUCCGGGUUCCCAUAAUCGUCCUUAUGGACCGCCGGUCGUGUGGUUGCCUGCAGAACGCCUCCUGGACCCCCGGCUGGUUGAACUCCCAAUACCUUGUCAGGCCUCUUAGAGGGACUGUCCAGUGCAGUACUGUGAAAAGAACCAUCACAGUGGAGACGCCCAUUGCGGCACACACAUAGGCACCUCCGGCGCGCAGUUUUUCUGGUUAGCGCCAAUUACGAGGUCACGACACACAUCUCCAGCUAAUUUAUGCACAGCUCCAAUUCUGUGCAUGGAGGAUGCAAAAGGGCAAACUAUCCAUGGUAGGACUUUCUGGAGCAUCAAUUCUACAAGAUGUGGAAGAAAUGAAGUCAUUUCCAAGGCAAAAGAGGAGAAACACUACUUGGGGAGCGCUGUUAUGUGCCAGGACUAUGAUCAUCAA